UACAGAGGGUGCGAGCGUUAAUCGGAUUUACUGGGCGUAAAGCGUGUGUAGGUGGCUUCCUAAGUCGGUUGUGAAAUCCCUGGGCUCAACCUGGGAAUUGCAGUCGAUACUGGGAAGCUAGAGUUCGGUAGAGGACGGCGGAAUUCCCGGUGUAGCGGUGAAAUGCGGAGAUAUCGGGAGGAACAUCGAUGGCGAAAGCAACCGUCUGGGCCUGAACUGACACUGAGACACGAAAGCGUGGGGAGCAAACAGG
rnacentral:rRNA from 1 species